rnacentral:rRNA from 1 species
CGACGUGGGUAACCUGCCUCAUACAGGGGGAUAGCAGCUGGAAACGGCUGAUAAAACCGCAUAAGCGCACAGCAUCGCAUGAUGCAGUGUGAAAAACUCCGGUGGUAUGAGAUGGACCCGCGUCUGAUUAGGUAGUUGGUGAGGUAACGGCCCACCAAGCCGACGAUCAGUAGCCGACCUGAGAGGUUGAACGGCCACAUUGGGACUGAGACACGGCCCAG